GCGAAAACCAACGUGUUCGGUGACAGACCCCAGCGCCUACUGAGCCCCUAAAGCGACUUCAGCCCUGCCCCACCAACACCACCGCGCGCCCGGGAACAGCCGCUCCGGGAAGAGACCUGAGGGGACUGCGGGGGGCACGAGGGACAGCUGAGGGAAGGGAGGACGCGGGUGAAACAGCGCGAGCACGCUGAGGGCCGGGGGUUGCCAGGAGAGGGGCCCGCGGACCCGCAGAGCGGAGAAAGACAUCCCUCCUACCAACGCAGUGGACUUCACUGGAAGAUGCUAUUUCACCAAAAUCUGCAAAUGUAAACUGAAGGACAUUGCAUGUUUAAAAUGUGGGAACAUUGUAGGUUAUCAUGUGAUCGUUCCAUGU
rnacentral:sRNA from 1 species